UCGGGAAUUUUGGGCAACGGGCGAAAGCCUGACCCAGCAACGCCGCGUGAAGGAUGAAGUAUUUCGGUAUGUAAACUUCGAAAGAAUAGGAAGAAUAAAUGACGGUACUAUUUAUAAGGUCCGGCUAACUACGUGCCAGCAGCCGCGGUAAUACGUAGGGACCAAGCGUUGUUCGGAUUUACUGGGCGUAAAGGGCGCGUAGGCGGCAAUUCAAGUCAUCUGUGAAAUCUCCGGGCUUAACUCGGAACGGUCAGAUGAUACUGCUUUGCUAGAGUGCAGAAGGGGCAAUCGGAAUUCUUGGUGUAGCGGUGAAAUGCGUAGAUAUCAAGAGGAACACCUGAGGUGAAGACGGGUUGCUGGGCUGACACUGACGCUGAGGCGCGAAAGCCAGGGGAGCAAACGGGAUUAGAUACCCAUGUAGUCCCUGAGCGGGCUGGCAAGGCGCAU
rnacentral:rRNA from 1 species